rnacentral:rRNA from 1 species
AUGAACGCUGGCGGCGUGCCUAAUACAUGCAAGUCGAGCGAACAGACGAGGAGCUUGCUCCUCUGACGUUAGCGGCGGACGGGUGAGUAACACGUGGAUAACCUACCUAUAAGACUGGGAUAACUUCGGGAAACCAGAGCUAAUACCGGAUAAUAUAUUGAACCGCAUGGUUCAAUAGUGAAAGACGGUUUUGCUGUCACUUAUAGAUGGAUCCGCGCCGCAUUAGCUAGUUGGUAAGGUAACGGCUUACCAAGGCAACGAUGCGUAGCCGACCUGAGAGGGUGAUCGGCCACACUGGAACUGAGACACGGUCCAGACUCCUACGGGAGGCAGCAGUAGGGAAUCUUCCGCAAUGGGCGAAAGCCUGACGGAGCAACGCCGCGUGAGUGAUGAAGGUCUUCGGAUCGUAAAACUCUGUUAUUAGGGAAGAACAAAUGUGUAAGUAACUAUGCACGUCUUGACGGUACCUAAUCAGAAAGCCACGGCUAACUACGUG